rnacentral:rRNA from 1 species
GACGAACGCUGGCGGCGUGCUUAACACAUGCAAGUCGAACGAUGAACCCGGAGCUUGCUCCGGCGGAUUAGUGGCGAACGGGUGAGUAACACGUGAGUAACCUGCCCUUGACUCUGGGAUAACUGCUAGAAAUGGUAGCUAAUACCGGAUACGACCCUCGGUGGCAUCACCAGGGGGUGGAAAGAAUUUCGGUCAAGGAUGGCCUCGCGGCCUAUCAGCUUGUUGGUGGGGUGAUGGCCUACCAAGGCGACGACGGGUAGCCGGCCUGAGAGGGUGACCGGCCACACUGGGACUGAGAUACGGCCCAGACUCCUACGGGAGGCAGCAGUGGGGAAUAUUGCACAAUGGGCGCAAGCCUGAUGCAGCGACGCCGCGUGAGGGAUGACGGCCUUCGGGUUGUAAACCUCUUUCAGCUAUGACGAAGCGCAAGUGACGGUAGUAGCAGAAGAAGGACCGGCCAACUACGUGCCAGCCGCCGCCGUAA